rnacentral:rRNA from 1 species
GACGAACGCUGGCGGCGUGCCUAAUACAUGCAAGUCGAACGAGAGCGACCGGUGCUUGCACUGGUCAAUCUAGUGGCGAACGGGUGAGUAACACGUGGGUAACCUGCCCAUCAGAGGGGGAUAACAUUCGGAAACGGAUGCUAAAACCGCAUAGGUUCUUAAGUCGCAUGACUCGAGAAGGAAAAGAGGCUUCGGCUUCUGCUGAUGGAUGGACCCGCGGUGCAUUAGCUAGUUGGUGAGGUAACGGCUCACCAAGGCCGUGAUGCAUAGCCGACCUGAGAGGGUGAUCGGCCACAUUGGGACUGAGACACGGCCCAAACUCCUACGGGAGGCAGCAGUAGGGAAUCUUCCGCAAUGGACGCAAGUCUGACGGAGCAACGCCGCGUGAGUGAAGAAGGAUUUCGGUUCGUAAAACUCUGUUGUUAGAGAAGAACAGCGCAUAGAGUAACUGUUAUGCGUG